GGAAGAGUAUCGAAGUGGUCAUAACGGCCCUGACUCGAAAUCAGGUAGCCCUAACGGGCUCGAGGGUUCGAAUCCCUCCUCUUCCG
rnacentral:tRNA from 1 species